CCUACGGGAGGCAGCAGUGGGGAAUAUUGCACAAUGGGGGAAACCCUGAUGCAGCAACGCCGCGUGAGUGAAGAAGUUUUUCUGUAUGUAAAGCUCUAUCAGCAGGGAAGAAGAUAGACGUUACCUGACUUACACGCCCCGGCUAACUACGUGCCAGCAGCCGCGGUAAUACGUAGGGGGCAAGCGUUAGCCGGAUUUACUGGGGGUACAGGGAGCGUAGACGGCUGUGCAAGUCUGAAGUUAAAGCCCGUGGCUCAACCGCGGAACGGCUUUGGAGACUGUAUAGCUUGAGUCCUGGAGAGGCAGGCGGAAUUCCUAGUGUAGCGGUGAAAUGCGUAGAGAUUAGGAGGAACACCAGUGGCGAAGGCGGCCUGCUGGACAGAAACUGACGUUGAGGCGCGAAAGCGUGGGGAGCAAACAGGAUUAGAUACCCUAGUAGUC
rnacentral:rRNA from 1 species